rnacentral:lncRNA from 1 species
GCUACACUCAAUGCUUUUUUAAGCUGUAGCACGUCGUGACCAUACGUCCUCGUAAUGGAAGUCAACAAUGCUACCUUCAUCUGAUUACAGGGCGCUGUGGCACUUUUCGGCAUGCAACGAAGUCCCGUGGGAGAAGACUGCAUAUAUUUAUGUAUAUGUGUACAGCGACAACAGUACUCAAGCUCCCAAAUGACGCUGCAGGACGUAUCAGCGUGGAACGAAGUGCUUUGGGGCAUGACUGUACAUAUUUAUGUAUAUGUGUACGGCGCCAUAAGUCCUCAAGCUCCCAGAUGGCGCUGUGGCACUUUUCGGCAUGCAACGAAGUCCCGUGGGAGAAGACUGUAUAUAUUUAUGUAUAUGUGUACAGCGACAACAGUACUCAAGCUCCCAAAUGACGCUGCAGGACAUAUCAGCGUGGAACGAAGUGCUUUGGGGCAUGACUGUACAUAUUUAUGUAUAUGUGUACGGCGCCAUAAGUCCUCAAGCUCCCAGAUGGCGCUGUGGCACUUUUCGGCAUGCAACGAAGUCCCGUGGGAGAAGACUGUAUAUAUUUAUGUAUAUGUGUACAGCGACAACAGUACUCAAGCUCCCAAAUGACGCUGCAGGACAUACCAGCGUGGAACGAAGUGCUUUGAGGUAUGACUGUACUUAUUUGUGUAUAUAUUUACGGCGCCAUCAGUCCUCAAGCUCCCAGAUGUGAGCACUUCCGUGAUCUCAUGAAAUUCGCUA